GUGUAUCAGUGAUGAAAAUUAGUUAUCCCUGUCUUAAAAUCUGUGAAUGAUACUUCUUUCCUGAGAUACAC